rnacentral:pre_miRNA from 1 species
CACCAAAAGUUGAAGCUGCCAGCAUGAUCUUAACUUUCCGAGAGCAAUGAGGAAAGAUCAGAUCAUAUGGCUGCUUCAUCUGUUGAUGGU